CCUGGCGGCCUUAGCGCGGUGGUCCCACCUGACCCCAUGCCGAACUCAGAAGUGAAACGCCGUAGCGCCGAUGGUAGUGUGGGGUCUCCCCAUGCGAGAGUAGGGAACUGCCAU
rnacentral:rRNA from 1 species